rnacentral:rRNA from 1 species
CAGUCGCCGCGGGAAUACGGAGGGUGCAAGCGUUAUCCGGAUUUAUUGGGUUUAAAGGGUCCGUAGGCGGAUCUGUAAGUCAGUGGUGAAAUCUCACAGCUUAACUGUGAAACUGCCAUUGAUACUGCAGGUCUUGAGUAAAUUUGAAGUGGCUGGAAUAAGUAGUGUAGCGGUGAAAUGCAUAGAUAUUACUUAGAACACCAAUUGCGAAAGCAGGUCACUAAGAUUUAACUGACGCUGAUGGACGAAAGCGUGGGGAGCGAACAGGAUUAGAUACCCCUGUAGUCCCUGUCUCUUAUAA